CUAGAUGAAUGGUCGUCUCUCCACACGCUUAACUCUGACAGAAAAGUGUGUUUCAAAGCCGUCCUUCACCUGGCUUGUUGGGAACACCAAGUUUCUCUUCAGUUGCAAACUCCACUCCAUACAUAUAUAUGGGGAGAUACUAGCUGAAAAUCGGUUUAAAGUGAAAGUUACAGGAAUUUCAAACAGGCACUAGGAAACAGACUGAGAAACCAGAGUAACUGUUUCUCCUGCAAACCGUUCCUUUUGUGUUAGAUGAACAAACGUCUCUCCACAUGCUAAUUUCUGAGAGAAAGUUGUGUGUGAAAGAGGUCCUUCAACUAGCAAGUUGGGAACACAAAUUU